GCCCGGCAGCCGUACCGCAGAUGAGCCCGCGCCCGCGCCGCUCAGAUCUCCCAGCUGGACGUUCAAAAUAGCUUUUGAUGUCUUAGGGCGUCUUUUAUUCAACCCUAGGAGGCCGAGGGAAGAAAAGGAUAAUUUAAAUGAAAUUUAGUUUCUAUAAAGAAAACGAUUAAAAACAAGGUAGGUUUUUAUCUUAGAUAUUUUAUCCAGGAUAAAGGCAGAGAUUCAACCAAGUCUUUAAUUAUAAUUAGGUAUAGGAAAUGUUUAAAGUAUGCUUACAAUAUGUCCAACUGAGUAUUCUGUUUCAGAAAGGAAAGUUCAUUGAGUUGUUUAUCUUUUGGGGGCAGUUGUUUACUUAUUUUCCUUUUAAAAUAAAUAAUUAAUCUAAUAAUUUUAUAGCAUUUUAAAUAAUCAUAAAAUGUAUGUGAUAAAGUGACUGCUAUAUGUUCUCUAUAUUUUUAUUUAUUAACUAUGGAUUGCUUCUAAAAACAUGCCUUGAAUAGUAAAGGAUUCCAUAGUGUAUGUGCAUUUUAAACAUUAUAUGCUUUCUUUGUUUUUGAUGAGAUAGCAGUCUAAAUUUUUUCACUCUGCUCUUGUGUUUAAAUGCAAAUAAGUUCAUUCAGUUUUCUGUUGGUGCUUUAUUUGAUACUACCAAGUUUUUGUUUGCUAAUGUAGGACAUAUAAGGCAUCCCCUGUAAAAACAUCCCCAAGCUACUCUAUGGUUAGUGUAUGGCUAAUAUAUU
rnacentral:sRNA from 1 species